rnacentral:rRNA from 1 species
AGUGAACGCUGGCGGUAGGCCUAACACAUGCAAGUCGAACGGCAGCACAGUAAGAGCUUGCUCUUACGGGUGGCGAGUGGCGGACGGGUGAGGAAUACAUCGGAAUCUACUUUUUCGUGGGGGAUAACGUAGGGAAACUUACGCUAGUACCGCAUACGACCUACGGGUGAAAGCAGGGGAUCUUCGGACCUUGCGCGAUUGAAUGAGCCGAUGUCGGAUUAGCUAGUUGGCGGGGUAAAGGCCCACCAAGGCGACGAUCCGUAGCUGGUCUGAGAGGAUGAUCAGCCACACUGGAACUGAGACACGGUCCAGACUCCUACGGGAGGCAGCAGUGGGGAAUAUUGGACAAUGGGCGCAAGCCUGGUCCAGCCAUACCGCGUGGGUGAAGAAGGCCUUCGGGUUGUAAAGCCCUUUUGUUGGGAAAGAAAAGCAGCAGGUUAAUACCCCGCUGUUCUGACGGUACCCAAAGAAUAAGCACCGGCUAACUUCGUG